rnacentral:rRNA from 1 species
AGUGAACGCUGGCGGCAGGCCUAACACAUGCAAGUCGAGCGGCAGCGCGGGGGCAACCCUGGCGGCGAGCGGCGGACGGGUGAGGAAUUCGUCGGAAUCUGCCUUUUUGUGGGGGAUAACGUAGGGAAACUUACGCUAAUACCGCAUACGUCCUACGGGAGAAAGUGGGGGACCGCAAGGCCUCACGCAGAAAGAUGAGCCGACGACCGAUUAGCUAGUUGGUGGGGUAAAGGCCCACCAAGGCGACGAUCGGUAGCUGGUCUGAGAGGAUGAUCAGCCACACUGGGACUGAGACACGGCCCAGACCCCUACGGGAGGCAGCAGUGGGGAAUAUUGGACAAUGGGCGCAAGCCUUAUCCAGCCAUGCCCCGGGGUGGAAGAAGGCCUUCGGGUUUUAAAGCACUUUUGUCCGGAAAGAAAUCCCUGGAGCUAAUACCUUCGGGGGAUGACGGUACCGGAAGAAUAAGCACCGGCUAACUUCGUG